AGUGAACGCUGGCGGUAGGCCUAACACAUGCAAGUCGAACGGCAGCACAGAGGAGCUUGCUCCUUGGGUGGCGAGUGGCGGACGGGUGAGGAAUACAUCGGAAUCUACUCUGUCGUGGGGGAUAACGUAGGGAAACUUACGCUAAUACCGCAUACGACCUACGGGUGAAAGCAGGGGAUCUUCGGACCUUGCGCGAUUGAAUGAGCCGAUGUGGGAUUAGCUAGUUGGCGGGGUAAAGGCCCACCAAGGCGACGAUCGGUAGCUGGUCUGAGAGGAUGAUCAGCCAAACUGGAACUGAGACACGGCCCAGACUCCGCCGGGAGGCAGAAGUGAGGAAUAUGGGACAAGGGGCGCAGGCCUGAUCCAGCCAUACCGCGUGGGUGAAGAAGGCCUUCGGGUUGUAAAGCCCUUUUGUUGGGAAAGAAAUCCAUCUGGUUAAUACCCGGGUGGGAUGACGGUACCCAAAGAAUAAGCACCGGCUAACUUUGUGCCAGCAGCCGCCGUAA
rnacentral:rRNA from 1 species